GUCCACGCCCUAAACGAUGCAUAUUUGGUGUGGGCAGUUCAUUCUGUCCGUGCCGGAGCUAACGCGUUAAAUAUGCCGCCUGGGGAGUACAGUCGCAAGGCUGAAACUCAAAGGAAUUGACGGGGCCGCACAAGCGGUGUAGCAUGUGGUUCAAUUCGACGCAACGCGAAGAACCUUACCUUGGCUCGAACGGCUUCCUAACGGCGGUAGAAAUACCGUUAUCCCGCAAGGGAGUGGAGUCGAGGUGCUGCAUGGCUGUCGU
rnacentral:rRNA from 1 species